rnacentral:lncRNA from 1 species
AGUUUAUGUUUUCUUACUUUAGUCUUCCAUUAGCCUGUAUCUUAGUCUAUAUUUUCUUUUUAAGUUAGACUUAAGUAAUCUAUCAGUGUGUUUGACUGUCUUCUGUCUCUCUUUUACAUGUUUGUGUUCUGUCUGUCUGUCAUUUAGUUUCACUUUGUGUCCUUGAUCUCAUCUAUCAUUUAGUUUCAUUCUGUGUCCCCGAUCUCCUUAACUUUUCAAUCAUAAUCCAUUUUGCUUUCACACUCUUGGAUUUUGGGCUGUUUGAUAUACGAUAUAUGCGGACAAUAUCGUAUAUCUCAUAGUUUGUCUAUCCAUUUACUGUUUCUAUGUGUACGUAUAUGGCUUACCUGUGGCUCUGACCCACACACAUACCACUACUUCUAUACGUACGUGCGUGGUCUUAAGAUUGGUAGAGAUUAUGAAGUAAACAACAGAUCAAGCAGGGUAAACAACACAAAUACUAUUUGUAACAUGCUAUAAAGUUAUACUAAAAAUAUAGUAC